CCUACGGGUGGCAGCAGUAGGGAAUCUUCGGCAAUGGGGGGAACUCUGACCGAGCAACGCCGCGUGAACGAAGAAGUUACUCUUAAUGUAAAGUUCUUUUAACAGGGAAGAAAGAGAAAUUAGACGGUACCUGCUGAAUAAGCCCCGGCUAACUACGUGCCAGCAGCCGCGGUAAUAGGUAGGGAGCGAGCGGUAUCCGGAAUUAUUGGGCGAAAGGGGUGCGUAGAUGGCAUAGUAAGUCGAUUGUAAAAAUGCUGGGCUCAACCCAGUAGGGCAAAAGAUACUGCAAAGCUAGAGUAUGACAGAGGCAGGUGGAACUACAUGUGUAGCGGUAAAAUGCGUAAAUAUAUGUAAGAACACCAGUGGCGAAGGCAGCUUACUGGGUCGAUACUGACAUUGAGGCACGAAAGCGUGGGGAGCAAACAGGAUUAGAUACCCGGGUAGUC
rnacentral:rRNA from 1 species